rnacentral:lncRNA from 1 species
GUUGUCGAGAGGGGUCCGUUGCUAUUCUUUGGUUGAUAUGUUGUAAUAUACUAUCAUAUUUUUUUUUUUAUUUAUGUGUGUCUCUGUUCUGAUGAUUCUCAUGUUAAGUUGUAUUCCUGUCACGUAAUGGUGCCAUUUUAGUGGUAUUUUUUACAUUGCCAUAUCAGAGGGAGGUUUAGUUAACCAUAAAACCAAGUUCAACCCACCAUUGUUUUCUUAAAAUAUCCGAUACCAAGUCGAGAAUAUGGCAGUUGUUAUCGUAUAGUUUG